UACAGAGGGUGCAAGCGUUAAUCGGAAUUACUGGGCGUAAAGCGCACGUAGGCGGAUUGUUAAGUCGGGGGUGAAAUCCUGGAGCUCAACUCCAGAACUGCCUUCGAUACUGGCGAUCUCGAGUUCGGGAGAGGUGAGUGGAACUGCGAGUGUAGAGGUGAAAUUCGUAGAUAUUCGCAAGAACACCAGUGGCGAAGGCGGCUCACUGGCCCGAUACUGACGCUGAGGUGCGAAAGCGUGGGGAGCAAACAGG
rnacentral:rRNA from 1 species